GUGAAUUACAAAAACUAGUGCUAUCUAACGGAAUGUUUGCGAACUGAUUUCAGCGCAAGUCCACAUGGGGUAGAUUACCUACGAAAAGUUCAUUGGCGUCAGUCGGGCCAUAGAUGUCGAUCAGCAUAUUUACAUAAGGUAAUUGCAAUCUUGGUCUUGACACGGAAAAAACCCAGAGGAUCAGAGGCUACAGCUUUCAGGUAUUUGCAAUUCUCGGGCCUGGACAAUAAAUCCAAACAACUGCGAAGUUACGUGUCAGUCUUAUUUCAAUAUGGAUACAGCGUCUCAAAGGAAAAUGCAG